AGCGAACGCUGGCGGCAGGCCUAACACAUGCAAGUCGAACGGAUCCUUCGGGUUUAGUGGCGGACGGGUGAGUAACACGUGGGAACGUGCCCUUUGGUUCGGAACAACUCAGGGAAACUUGAGCUAAUACCGGAUGUGCCCUUCGGGGGAAAGAUUUAUCGCCAUUGGAGCGGCCCGCGUCUGAUUAGCUAGUUGGUGAGGUAACGGCCCACCAAGGCGACGAUCAGUAGCUGGUCUGAGAGGAUGAUCAGCUACACUGGGACUGAGACACGGCCCAGACUCCUACGGGAGGCAGCAGUGGGGAAUCUUGCGCAAUGGGCGAAAGCCUGACGCAGCCAUGCCGCGUGAAUGAUGAAGGUCUUAGGAUUGUAAAAUUCUUUCAGCGGGGACGAUAAUGACGGUACCCGCAGAAGAAGCUCCGGCUAACUUCGUG
rnacentral:rRNA from 1 species